UGGGUAACCUGCCUCAAAGAGGGGAAUAGCCUCCCGAAAGAGAGAUUAAUACCGCAUAAUAUGUUUAGGUCGCAUGACUUUAACAUCAAAGGAUUUUCUUUUUAGAAAUUCCACUUUGAGAUGGACCCGCGGUGCAUUAGCUAGUUGGUGAGGUAACGGCUCACCAAGGCAACGAUGCGUAGCCGACCUGAGAGGGUGAUCGGCCACAUUGGGACUGAGACACGGUCCAGACUCUACGGGAGG
rnacentral:rRNA from 1 species